rnacentral:rRNA from 1 species
UACAGAGGUCUCAAGCGUUGUUCGGAUUCAUUGGGCGUAAAGGGUGCGUAGGCGGCGCGGUAAGUCGGGUGUGAAAUCUCGGAGCUUAACUCCGAAACUGCAUUCGAUACUGCCGUGCUUGAGGACUGGAGAGGAGACUGGAAUUUACGGUGUAGCGGUGAAAUGCGUAGAUAUCGUGGAGAACACCCGUGGCGAAGGCGGGCUUCUGGCUAAUUACUGACGCUGAGGUGCGAAAGCUAGGGGAGCGAACGGG